rnacentral:misc_RNA from 1 species
GAUGAAGAACGUAGCGAAAUGCGAUAAGUAAUGUGAAUUGCAGAAUUCAGUGAAUCAUCGAAUCUUUGAACGCACAUUGCGCCCGCCAGUAAUCUGGCGGGCAUGCCUGUUCGAGCGUCAUUUCAACCAUCAAGCCCCAGGCUUGUGUUGGGGACCUGCGGCUGCCGCAGGCCCUGAAAACCAGUGGCGGGCUCGCUGUCACACCGGGCGUAGUAGAUUUUAUCUCGCUCAGGGCGUGCUGCGGGUUCCGGCCGUUAAAAAGCCUUUUUUACCCAAGGUUGACCUCGGAUCAGGUAGGAAGACCCGCUGAACUUAAGCAUAUCAAUAAGCGGAGGA